AACCUAGCGCAAUGGCAGUAUCGUAACCAAUGAGGGUUAACUGAGGUGCGAUUAUUGCUAGUUGGCUUAAUCUUCAAUAACAAGUUUGCCCUGUCUGUUAAUUAACGUAGUUCAAAUAGCAACACUUCUGGGUCUUGA